AGUCGUAACAAGGUAUCCGUAGGUGAACCUGCGGAUGGAUCAUUAUAGGAUGAUGGAAUGGAUGUGAGUGGUUUUAUUAAUAGUUUGAGCGGUGUUGGUUGGGAUGCUUGCAGGAUUGCCAAGCAGGAUUGCCAAGCAGGAUUGCCAAGCAAGACAGCCAACUUGCCUCACGUUAAACUCUAUAAAUCUAACAAUUACAUACAAAAAAAAACAACUUUUAGCAACGGAUCUCUUGGCUCUC
rnacentral:misc_RNA from 1 species